AUUGAACGCUGGCGGCAGGCCUAACACAUGCAAGUCGAACGAGUGGCGGACGGGAGAGUAAUGUCUGGGAAACUGCCUGAUGGAGGGGGAUAACUACUGGAAACGGUAGCUAAUACCGCAUACCAUCAGAUGUGCCCAGAUGGGAUUGGCAAGUUGGUGGGGUAACGGCUCACCAAGGCGACGGUCCCUAGCUGGUCUGAGAGGAUGACCGGCCACACUGGAACUGAGACACGAUCCAGAAUCCUACGGAAGGCAGCAGUGGGGAAUAUUGCACAAUGGGCGAAAGCCUGAUGCAGCCAUGCCGGUGGUAUGAAGAGGGCCUUCGGGUUGUAAAGUACUUUCAGCGAGGAGGCGUUACCCGCAGAGGAAGCACCGGCUAACUCCGUGCCAGCAGCCGCGGUAAUUC
rnacentral:rRNA from 1 species